UUGGGCAUUACAAUAACUUAGCAAAUCGGAUAGUGAAAACAGGCGAUAAAUCAUUCAAGGUUCUGACCUAUCAGCUUUCGACGGUAUGGUAUUGGCUUACCGUGGCAGUGACGGAUAACGGGGGAUUAGGGUUCGAUUCCGGAGAGGGAGCCUGAGAAACGGCUACCACAUCUAAGGAAGGCAGCAGGCGCGCAAAUUACCCAAUUCUAACAGCAUAAGAGAGGUAGUGACAAGAAAUAACAAUACAAGGCAGUUAAAAUGCUUUGUAAUUGGAAUGAUAGAAAUUUAAACACUUUUUAAAGUAUCAAUUGGAGGGCAAGUCUGGUGCCAGCAGCCGCGGUAAUUCCAGCUCCAAUAGCGUAUAUUAAAAUUGUUGCAGUUAAAAAGCUCGUAGUUGAAUUUCUGCUAAAAAUAACCGGUCUGCUUUUAAUAAAGGUGGUAUCUUGGUGUGUUUUUAGCAAUAAUGUCCUUUGAAAUGUUUUUUACUUCAUUGUAAUAAAUUAUUUUCAGGAUUUUUACUUUGAGAAAAUUAGAGUGUUUCUAGCAGGCUAACGCUUUGAAUACUGCAG
rnacentral:rRNA from 1 species